ACUUCGGUCUGGUGGCGAGUGGCGAACGGGUGAGUAAUGUAUCGGAACGUGCCCAGUAGCGGGGGAUAACUACGCGAAAGCGUAGCUAAUACCGCAUACGCCCUACGGGGGAAAGCAGGGGAUCGCAAGACCUUGCACUAUUGGAGCGGCCGAUAUCGGAUUAGCUAGUUGGUGGGGUAACGGCUCACCAAGGCGACGAUCCGUAGCUGGUUUGAGAGGACGACCAGCCACACUGGGACUGAGACACGGCCCAGACUCCUACGGGAGGCAGCAGUGGGGAAUUUUGGACAAUGGGGGAAACCCUGAUCCAGCCAUCCCGCGUGUGCGAUGAAGGCCUUCGGGUUGUAAAGCACUUUUGGCAGGAAAGAAACGUCGUGGGUUAAUACCCCGCGAAACUGACGGUACCUGCAGAAUAAGCACCGGCUAACUACGUGCCAGCAGCCGCGGUAA
rnacentral:rRNA from 1 species